rnacentral:lncRNA from 1 species
GUUUUUAUUGCUUCGCCCCAAAAGCCAAACUGCAAUUUUGGCCUCUUGUAUAGUGGAUGUGUAGUGUAACAAGAGAAGAAAAAUCUAAUCACUGAUGUCUUUAUGAAAACUUUUUCACAGAAUGUGAUGAGCACAGUGCAGGAGAAGAUGUUAUGAAUCCGCAGAUUCAUCCUUCUCCUGAGGGACAGAGCACGGAGGAGGAUCUGAAUUUGUUCAAGGUGGUAGCUGUUAUCCAAGACCAGUAAGGACCUGAUGGCAGCAAGAAUGUCGAGAUACCUAUAGCCAUGCAGAGGUGCUCAGGGAAGGUGAGAGAAGGAGCAGCUCUCCUGGACCCAGCCCUUGCAGGGUACCUUGCAGGGUACCGCUGCCUUCUGCUGCACAGAGAGAGAACUAUUUUCAAGCAUGAUGUUGGUAAAGGGAAUUGCUGCAGUACUGUGAUCAGCCAGAUCUUCUCUCAGCUGUAUUGCAUUGAUAGCAAAAUGAUACAAAAUCACUGUCAGAUUGAGAGCCAAGUGCUGCACAGAGCAUCCUUCCUGCUCUCGCAGAGGCACUCUCAUCCUUAGCAUGACGGUUUCAAAAGAUUUUGGGCCAAGCAUUACAACUCUUAAAAAAAAUAAAAAAAAAAAAAAAAAAGUCCCCUUAAUGAAAUUCAGUUUGGAUAUGUCUGUCUAAUGUAAGCCAACUCAGGAUGUGAAGCAAUUAGCACUUCUGUAGAUGUAAUCAUCCACAGCAGUCUGCACUUGGGUAGCUUUAGCCUCAGCUCUUUGGGUGCACCUUUUCUUUUUCUUUAUCCAGAAUGAGAUGUAUCAUUUGACCAUGGGCUGAUCUAAAAUGAAAACUUAGAUUAAGAGCAGUGCCAGUAGUAGUAAAUGGUUACGCUGCAGGAAUCAGAGCCAGCUGAAAAUUAGAAUUUUUGAAA